GAUGAACGCUGGCGGCGUGCCUAAUACAUGCAAGUCGAACGAAGGUAGCAAUACCUUAGUGGCGAACGGGUGAGUAACACGUAGGUAACCUGCCUUUCAGUUGGGGAUAACCGAGGGAAACUUUGGCUAAUACCGAAUUCGUGCUUCGAAGGCAUCUUUGGAGCAUAAAAGGGGCCUUUAAAGCCUCGCUGAUUGAUGGACCUGCGGCGCAUUAGUUAGUUGGUGAGAUAACAGCCCCACCAAGACGAGGAUGCGUAGCCGACCUGAGAGGGUGAUCGGCCACACUGGAACUGAGACACGGUCCAGACUCCUACGGGAGGCAGCAGUAGGGAGUUUUCGGCAAUGGGGGAAACCCUGACCGAGCAACGCCGCGUGAGUGAUGAAGGUCUUCGGAUUGUAAAGCUCUGUUAUAAGGGAAGAACGGCAGCUAGAGGAAAUGCUAGCUGUUUGACGGUACUUUAUGAGAAAGCCACGGCUAACUACGUGCCAGCAGCCGCGGUAAU
rnacentral:rRNA from 1 species